GCAGGCAGCUGUUCGGGUCACGGGCGAUGCUGAGGUGCGUAUUCUCAGACGCUUCUGGGUAGGCGGUGGCUGAACGGAUAGCAAGACGGCCCCGCGUUCAGGAGGACGCGAGUUCAAUCCCCGACCGGUGCCACCAAGCUGGGAUUUUUCAGCCGCCGCCGAGUGGCUUAAAACUACCCACAUGCUGUCCAGAAGACCACCUAUCAACCCGGACUCUAGAUUCUAGGAUUAAAGAUUAGCUCCGGGAGGGCAGCAUGAGCCAAUGCAAGAUGGCGCCACUAUAAAUACUCGCCUGCGCCAGAACGGGCUGGGCUGACCAUCAGGCCCCACCGGGAAGAAGCCUUGGACCGACCAUCAGGAUCCACCGGGAAGAAGCCUACCGGCGCAAUAGGCCAAGACGUAAAAAAAAAAAAAAAAACCGCCAACUAUUUCCAGAGGCCGAAAAGGAGAUUAAACAGGUUUUAAAGAGUGUGUUUUCACGUCCAUAGUACAGAAGAAGGAUUAAACUACCACCAGGGUCAUAAAAGGACCUCUUGAAAUGCCCCCCUCCAUAAAGAAAAAAAAAAACUACGAAAUCCUUGUCAAAUAUGUGUGUUUGGGGACCGACAUGUUUUGGACCCUCUGUGGCCGCCCGUGCCCCUCAGCCGUCAUCCACGCGUCCACAAGGGCCGUACUUUAAAAACCUUUCGCCAGGCCUGGCACUGGAGUUCUCCGGGCGAUCCGAUAUUUGGUACCAUUAGACGGAAUGAACGCUUCGCCGGGCUAAGCCUCGCCAGCGCUGAGGACGAAAUAGUAAUGGAACUUGCCGCCGAACGAAAGUCCAGGCGGAGGCUUCCUUUCCCGCUGGCGAAAGGCAUAAAUUUGAAUUGUUUUACUAUGUCUGCAGUAGCAUGAGAAGUUGAACGAAUUAGAAAAGACACACUAAUUUAUUUUUGCAAUAACUCAAGCAAGUUUUAUAAAUAUCGAUGUAUUUACAGCUUUUUUCAAGACUAUGUAGUAUCGCUCCAUGAGGAUUCAAGACGCCUGCCUCCUCCGGUAUUGACAUAAGAGUGCAAGCAAGUAUAAAGGCUGUAGUCACUGUCUAGUGGGGUCACUCCCUCCUAAACCUAGAUCAAGAGCAAGACCCAGAUGAUGGCAGCCUUACAAGUUUUUGAGGAGCUUGAUGUCCUCUAGGAUGCUGCAGGGGAAAGGGUCAGACUGCCGAGAAGGAUUGUGAAGGAUCUCUUGGAUUUAUUCCUGACUUUGACUGAAGAGGAAUUUACAUCCAGGUUCAGGAUAUCAAAGCAAAGCGCAAGGGCCUUACUUGCUGACUUACAUUUACCAGAGGCAGCUGAUGCAAGAGGAUGUCCUGUACCACCUCACCUUCAACUCCUCAUCACCUUAAGAUGGAUGGCCACUGGUGACCUGCACCAAACUAUUGGAGAUUGCCUGGAUGUCUCUCAGCAGUUUGUAAGUUCAUGCUCUUCACAUACUGUGCGUGCCAUUGCUGCUUUAUAUCAGCGGUAUGUAAAGUUUCCUGGAAGGCAUGAGUUAGGGUCCAUCAAGACAAACUUUGAAGCAAUGUCUGGAUUCCCAGGUGUCAUUGGUGCAAUAGACUGCACACACAUCCCCAUUCUCAGUCCAGGUGGUCAGCAAGCAGAAACUUACCGAAGCAGAAAGGGCUUCUUUUCAUUAAAUGUACAAGCAGUGUGUGGUCCAGACUUAACAUUUUAUAAUAUUAUUUGUCGAUGGCCAGGAUCAGUCCACGACAGCAGAAUAUUUGCUAAUAGUUCUCUGUAUGCUCAGUUGCAAGCUGGCGAUUACAAUGGCCAUUUGUUAGGGGACUCAGCCUACCCUCUUCGUCCCUUUCUUACGACUCCUGUUGGGAAUCCAUCACGGCCAAAUGAAGGACGAUAUAACUUGGCUCAUGCUAAAACCCGUAAUGUAAUAGAGAGAGCAUUUGGAGUGUGGAAACGACGAUUCCGUUGUCUGGCCAUUCCUAUGCGUACAAGCCUGGACACAACCAUGGCCACAAUCUGCAGUGCAGCUGUUUUGCACAACGUUGCAAUGGCAGACAGGAAUGAAGAUAUGGAAGAUUAUGACAAUGAUAUUAUAAAUGAAGAGGAAAGACUCAUUGAGAAUGCACAAAAUAGACAUGCAGGACAGAGGAAGAGGGCAAACAUGAUAAAUAAUGUAUUUUCAAAUGAAUAACAUGAAAUGAUAUAAAUGUCAGGGACCAAUUUUUGCUGCCCAAAUAGUGAUAAAAGUAAACUGUUGUCUGUAUCUUUUUUGGGUUUUGUAAACUGAGGGAGUAAGCCAAUACAAAGGCUGCAGGCACUAUACCAAAUGGGGUGACUAUCUGGCCCGUGCUGGGUUAAUGGGUCUCUCCCACUACAAGCUCAAAGGGUCAACUGGACAGGAAUGAGCUCCUGAGCUCCACAGUCACACAUAGCUAUAGCAUAUACUCCCAUUACACACACAGGAAAUGCAAACACACAGGCGUGGAACACUACUCUACCUUCAGGUAGUGUGGUUUUCAGUCUGGAAAAUAAGUUAUAUUUGUUUUCAAGUUUUAUAUUUUUGUGGAAUCUGUUUUAUAUGGUUGACUAAUAAAAUCUAUUGGAAAAGUAUUUUGAUGUUUAAUACGACAAUCAUAUCCUGAAAGUCUUUCAGAACAGAAGAAAAAAAUGAUUAGUGAUUUUUUAGUCGAGCCAAGUUUUUCUCGUGAUAUUCUUUGACACACCUCUUUUGAAUGGCAAUUAGUUCCAAUUGGCUUUCAUGAACUUUUGAGAGAUUGGCAUAGUAUUCUGUUGCCAACCUCUUUUCGUGAUCCAUUACAUGUACACACACACACACACACACACACACACACACACACACACACACACACACACACACACACACACACACACACACACACACACACACACACACACACACACACACACACACACACACACACACACACACACACACACACACACACACACACACACACACACACACACACACACACACACACACACACACACACACACACACACACACACACACACACACACACACACACACACACACAUGUACACACACACACAGACAUGUACACACACAUUCUUUUCUCGAGGGCUUAAUAAAUUUUCUUCACUCGCUAAUCCCUAGGCCACUGAGGACUGGGUGAGGCGCUAAUCUCAGGGCAGCCGUUGUCUUUAUAUCCACCCACCCACACCCAUGUCACACCCACAUUCAUGAUCAUUCGUCAGAACGAUUCCUACCUUUUUCCCUUAUUCCUUUCCCCAGGUGUGGGGUCAGAGGCCCUUUUCAUAUAUAUGUAUAUAUUCCUCAUAUUUUGUUUUUCUACAUAUUUCGAAACGAAAAAUAGUAAUUACCGUCAUGUUUUUGAUAAAUUUCGUCGAAGGAGACCCUAAUGUACCCAAAGCGGGUACUCAGCAUAUAAUGUAUGCGAAGGAUGAAUAUGCACCAUACAAAUUUCCCGCGCUUUUUAGUCGACACGGUGCUACAUCUAGCAGGCUUUGGGAGUGUUAGCGCGGGCGAUCACUUUCGGUCGCCGAGACUGGCGAUCGCCACCGCUGGAGAAAAAUGGGUGUUUAAAGUACGGCCUUCCUCACCGACACGAUCGCCAAGCGUAACUUCGCCAGGCAUUCGCCGACCUUGGCGGAUGGUUUUAAAGUACAGCCCCCGGCGGGUGGCCUGGCGACGCGCCGUAUCAGUGAGCGAGUGUAGUGACGUGGAGGGCAAGAGCGAGAAUCAAGUGAUGAGACAAGCUGAUUGCCGCCGCUGACCCGUCGAUCGAGUGUGCGGUGUGCCGCAGGCAGACCAAGACGCCAGAAAUGUCCGUUCAGCCAUUCAAUUCUGCCGAGGGCAAGAAGUCAUGUUAGUGAACUCUGAUGACUUGUACUUUUCUCUGUGGACUCUGCUGUAAGCCAGUCACGGAAGAUGUGAACUGUAUCUGUACUAUGAAGUCUUAUAAAUAAACUUAAGGGCCACACCUAUGACUUUAUCUUGCCUCAAACCCAUUUAGCUAAUCUCCGGACACA